rnacentral:ncRNA from 1 species
AUCUUAGCGCUAGUUCCGUUCGCUGCUUUUCCAGCGGACGGAGGACGAGGAGAAGGUUGUCGAGACGUCAGCGGAUGCCUUCCGGCCGGCCCGGCCGACAGCGCCUGGAGAGAGCGAUGAAGUGAUUCAUCGGACAAAGCCAG